ensembl:lncRNA novel transcript
CACCGCCCUCGCUGACCGUGCAGAGGGACCACCCUCAGCUGAAGACUCCCCCAGAACCCCUUCCGAGACCCUGCUCAGCUGGCCCAGCCCCUGCCCCUGUGUUACCUGAGAAUCUCCAGCUGGAUGUCCUCCAUCUGGUCCAGCACGCCCCAGAUGUCCUUCUUGAGGUUCUGGGGGCCAGAGGAGCCCUUCAGGGUUUCUCGCUCUCUGCUCCUCGCUGGACAGAAAAGAUCCUGGCAGCCUCGCCCUCCACCCUGGAUCCCCUCCCCACUACCCCCUGCCCCUGGGACUGGGUAAGGUCUCUGGGACUGCACUGAGUGAGCAGAGGAGAUGGGGCCCAGGCAGGGUCACACUACAAAUCCCUGGCAGUGCUAGUCCAGGCAUCCUCCAUGGCUGCUGGAGGCUGCGGCUGGGGGACACUGGGGUUGGGCGUGG